rnacentral:rRNA from 1 species
UCUUGGAGAGUUUGAUCCUGGCUCAGGACGAACGCUGGCGGCGUGCUUAACACAUGCAAGUCGAACGAAGAGCGAUGGAAGCUUGCUUCUAUCAAUCUUAGUGGCGAACGGGUGAGUAACGCGUAAUCAACCUGCCCUUCAGAGGGGGACAACAGUUGGAAACGACUGCUAAUACCGCAUACGAUCCAACCUCGGCAUCGAGGAUGGAUGAAAGGUGGCCUCUAUUUAUAAGCUAUCACUGAAGGAGGGGAUUGCGUCUGAUUAGCU